rnacentral:rRNA from 1 species
AGCAGUCACGGUAAUUCCAGCUCCAAUAGUAUAGAUUAAAGUUAUUACAGUCGAAAGCAUGUAGUUGAAUUUCGGAAUCAAAUUACUGAUUGUGCUAUGGACCUAUGGUACAUACUGGUUUUAUUGAUUCUUCCCUUCUGACGAACACCAUUAAUUUUGGUGUCAUGGGGAAUCUGGACUGUUUACUUUGAAAAAUUAGUGUGAUUAAAGCAGGCCCACGCUUGAUGAAAUAACGAAAUAGGACGUUUGUUGGUUUCUAGAAUCGACAUAAUGAUUAAUAGGGAUAGUUGGGCAAUUAGUAUUCAAUUGUCAGAGAUGAAAUUCUUGGAUUUAUUGAAGACAGACUACUGCGAAAGCAUUUGCCAAGGAU